UCAGGGGAACAGAACACAGGAAGGAGGUCUGAAUGUCCUUCAGGAGAACAGAACACAGGAAGGAGGUCUGAAUGUCCUUCAGGAGAACAGAACACAGGAAGGAGGUCUGAAAGUCCUUCAGGGGAACAGAACACAGGAAGGAGGUCUGAAUGUCCUUCAGGAGAACAGAACACAGGAAGGAGGUCUGAAUGUCCUUCAGGGGAACAGAACACAGGAAGGAGGUCUGAAUGUCCUUCAGGGGAACAGAACACAGGAAGGAGGUCUGAAUGUCCUUCAGGAGAACAGAACACAGGAAGGAGGUCUGAAUGUCCUUCAGGGGAACAGAACACAGGAAGGAGGUCUGAAUGUCCUUCAGGAGAACAGA